rnacentral:rRNA from 1 species
UACGGAGGGUGCAAGCGUUGCUCGGAAUUAUUGGGCGUAAAGGGUAGGUAGGUGGUCUCAUUUGUCAGAGGUGAAAUCCUUGGGCUUAACUCAAGAAGUGCCUCUGAAACGGUGAGACUAGAGUCCUGGAGAGGGUCGUGGAAUUCCCGGUGUAGCGGUGAAAUGCGUAGAGAUCGGGAGGAACACCAGAGGCGAAAGCGGCGACCUAGACAGGCACUGACACUCAAAUACGAAAGCGUGGGUAGCAAACAGG